GCCACACCCAUGGCAUAUGGAAGCUCCCAGGCUAGGGGUUGAACUGGAGCUGUAGCUGCCAACCUACACCACGACUCAUGGUAAUGCCAGAUCCUUAACCCAUUGAGCGAGGCCAGGGAUCAAAUGCACAUCCUCAUGGAUGCUAGUUGGGUUCAUUACCACUAAGCCACAAUGGGAACUCCUGUAGCACUGAGAACUAUGUCUAGUCACUUAUGAUGGAACAUGAUAAUGUGAGAAAAAAGCAUGUAUACAUGUAUAUGUAAUUGGGUCCACUGCUGUACAGUGGGAAAAAAAAAGGUAAAAAAAAUUUUUUUUGGCUGCACCCAUGGCGUGUGGAAAUUCCUGGGCCAGAAAUUGAAUCUGAACCUCAGCUGUGACCUACACCACAGCUAUGGCAAUGCCAGAUCCUUAGCCCACUGUGCUGGGCUGGGGAUUGAACCUAUGUCUUAGCAGUGACCUGAGAUGUGCAAAGACAAUGCCAGACCCUUAAUCCACUGUGUCAUGGUGUGAACUCCAUAUAAGAUUAUCAUAAAGAAGAAUUUUUUCCUUUCCCAAUUACAUACUCAUGUCAAAAUGGCAGGAUAAUGGAAUAGAUUGGUAUAGGAAUUUUUCCUAGAGUAGGAUAGUUAAAAUGUAGUUCAUUAAAAGCUUUCCAGGUCAAAUGAAUGAAUAUUGACUUUAAGGAAGAAGAAAAGUGAAGGCGAAAGGAAUUUAGAAAAAUUAUAAUUCAUCCCUUUAAUGUGGUGGGUUGAUAAACUUUCUGCAUACUUCUUUUUGUUGUUGUUUUUAAGCCUUGAUCUCCUGAUGUCUUACAUCAUAGACACUACAUCACAUAACUGUGUUUUAAAUGCUCUAGGCAGAGUUGUACAGGUAAUAAAGUGCCAGCUUGUAUGGUCUGAAUCUUAAUUUCAGAAUGACAAUUGUCUUCUCAUUCUUAUUUACAUUUUGUAUGAAGUGACAGAUGCUCCUAAUAAUUCUUUCUUCUCUGACUUGUGUCAGUUGACUUCAUCCUCGAUUUGGUUAUGUGAAAUAUCUAAGAAUUAAGACUGAAAGGUUUCCAGUUAUAGUGUAAUGGAUAGAAACAUAAAGGAGAUGAAAAUAAGAUGAGCACUCUUACUUAAGAGUUUAUUAUUAGUAUGCAUUAAUAGAUAUCUAAUAAAUUGAAAACUCAGUGGUUUGAUGCUUUAGAUAUCAUCUUUUUGAGCUUGUUUAGAGAAUAAACUGGGUUUUGAGCUCUUUAGUCUUGCUACAACUUAGUGUAACAAAGCAAUUCUAGUAGAAAAAAUGGAUUUGGAGCACAGUUUCUUGUUGAGCUUUGUAGAAUUUGUCGGUUAGAAAAAAAUCGCCUUGCUGAAAAUGUGUUUGCUUCUCUGCUUUACACUUUCUCAUCUCAGCUCUGAUGUUAUUUGAACAAUUCUCGACAUGCUUCUUUACCUUCCAAUAGAUAGGGGUAAAAACAUUCAUUCUCAAUUUUUGGUUUGUCCUUGUGCCUUUAAAACUUGAUUAAAAGUCGCAGGUUUCUCAGAGUUCUAAGUGAAUAGACAUUGUCAUUAGCUCUUGGAUAAUGUUCUCUGUGUUCUAUAAACCAAGUAAUCAGGUUUAGCUUGUACUUGUGUCAAAGUUCCCAGAGGGUUUACUAAUGAAAAACAAAAAGGCAAUAUAUGCUGCUGUAAUAAGCCAGAAUUCCUCUUAAAAUAAUCUGAAAAUGAAAAACAGCCCCAUGUGCCUCUGACCUUAGAAUCCCUGAGUUCCUCUCUGUCAUCACUUCAGCUGUUACAAGUCAGGGUGAAUUAACCACGGUCAUGUCUAGAUCAACAUUUUAAUUACCUGGCUUUGUUGAUAACAUGUUGAAAUUACUCUCAUCUGGUAGGUUGAAAGACCACAAAUUUAUAGUAGCGCUCGAACACAUCUUGAUGUGUGCUUCUUGUCAUGUGAAGACUUUUAACAUUUAAAAAUACAUUGUACGUUGUGGUGAAAAAGCACUGGCACAUUGGGAGGAGAUUUUAUUGUUUGGAAAGUCCAGUGGUUAAAGGCAUUAUACCAUCUUUUGGUGUUUGCGAUGACAUAGAUAGUCAAGUUUCAUGGAGUUUUCCCCUCAGAAGUUAUUCUUUCUCUUGGGUGCAAGAAUAAGUUUAAAUCUCUACUGAUAUUUUGCUUAAUAGCUCGCUUUCUUGUAUUUAUUUAAGUUAGUUUGAUCACAGGUAGAUUUUGCUCAUUCAUCUUUUAGGGCAGAAUAUUUAAGCUAUUAAAAAUAAAAUGAAUUCUUCCUGUACGGAUGUGAAAAUGUUUAUGUGAUGCAUUUAAUAAUGUUGAGUCAGGAUUCAGAAUAAAGGGGCUCUCAUGAGGACCUUCCCAUGUUGACAUCUCCUAAUGUGGAUAUCAUGUAUUACAAAAUUUCGUAAUAUUAAAUGCAGCAAUAAGAUUUCAGUGGUUCUAAUGAUAGCUGAUAUUCAGCAGGCAUUGAUUGUGCCAGGCAGCAUAGCGAAACGUGACUUACACAGGCAUUUUAAUGCUUGUUAGUCCCCAGAGGCAGAUUUUAUUAUUGUCACUAUUUUAUUUGGAGAGGACAAAAAGAAGCUUUAGGCAAGUUUAGUCACUUAAACCUGAAGUUAACUACUAUUCAUGGAAGGCAGUAGGAUUUGAACCAGAGGUUUCCUACUCUUAAAGAUUCUGUCCAUUUCUGUUCCAUUCUGCCUGCCAUUUUCAGUUCUUCACCAUAGCCUUCCUUCACCCUUAGCACUGUAGUACCUUCUAGACCAUCUUUAUUUGCCAACAUGUACAUCUCCGUCUGAGGUCCCCUCCUGACCCUUUGGAGAUAAUCCUACCCACAUUCAAGGCAAGGAAGUUUCAGAGAAUGGACACCCAUCACUCCUUCAGCUAGUGAGGUGGUUGAUGCACACUCUGGGUCCCUCGACCCUGAGGAAAGAGAGACGUGAGGCUGCUACCCGGGUUCCUUAAGCUCAUGAUGAUGGUGUGUUUUUGCUGGAUACAGUACCCUUUAUUAGCUACAUUCCCUUUCCUAGCUCUCUCCCCUGCUCCCCUACCAGCGUGGAACUUCCAAGUCAACUCUGCGCUGGAAACCUUACCACAGGACCAGCUUCUUAAGGAAUCCAAACUGUGUUGGUUACCUUGACAAAAAUUUACUUUGAUGGAGAAGAUGAUACAUGGAGGAUAUACGGAUGAUUUUGAACCCUCACUGGAGUUCUAUCUUAAUGGAAUAAAAACUUAAAAUUUUACAUUUACAUAGUGUGGUAGAAGAGCAGUUCAAAUAUUUUCAGCUAAUGUAUCUCAAUAUGUUUCUUAUACUGGAAUAUAUUUCUAUAUGACAUUAAAAUUUAACCUACUAAAGUAUAGAGCCAUAUGUUUAACCUAAAUAAAAAGCCAUAAGGAGACUCGAUCUUGUUAACAGUCACUUCCUCAAUUUCCAGAAGGUCUUUGGUGAUUUUGACAUUUUUAAAUGGAGCUUUAUUUGUAUAUUCCUUCAGUCUACAGUAUCUGAAUAGAUACUGUAUUUUCUUCUACUUUAUUAAAGGACUCUUCUGGAUAGCAUGGGCUCCGUACUCUGAAGAAGCUUGAAACCAGUUGCAGAAGACAAAAUUUAUACCUUUGAUGCAAAUUGGAGAACAAAAUAAAUAAUAACAUAAUUUUUUGAAAUUUUACAGUUUGCAGAGCAGGGUCACAUAUUGUGUUAGAGUAACCGACUAUAUAAUGGAAAGAUUCUUAGGCAGGGACCCUAGUCUGCCAGUUUCCGAGGGCUGACAUCACAAAAUACCACUAAUGGGGAGGUCGAAAACACAGAAAUGUGUUGUCUCAGUCCCUGAGGUGAGAUGUCCGCAGGCAAGAUGCUGGCCAGGCCGUGUUUCCUCUGAAGCCUUUCCGGUAGAUCCUUUCUUUCCCCUUCCUGCUCCUGGUGGUUUGCCAGUAACCUCUGGUGUUCCUUGGCUUGUAGAUGCCCUGCGCCAAUCUUCUAUGUACCCAGGACCUUCUCCUUGUGUCCCUGUCUUCACUCGGCCCUCUUAUAUGAACACUGGUUGUAUUGGAUGAAAGGCUUAUCCUGCUCCAUCAGUGUCCUCUUAACUAAUUUCAUCCGCAAUGCUUUUUCUUAAUAAAGUCACAUUUUGAAGUACUGAGUGUUAGGAUUUCAACAUUCCCCCUCUUUUGGGAGGACACAAUUAAGCCUGUAAUACCUGGGUCGCAGUUCUACGUGUUUUUAGUUGGCCAUGAAUUGGCUUGGACAUAUCCAUUGCCUCUGUAGGCCUCAGUUUCCUCAUCUCUGAAAGAAGACACGUGGUUAUGGAGUUCCUGUUAUGGCUCAGCAGGUAAAGAACCCGACAUAGUCUCCAUGAGGAUGUGCGUUCAAGUCCUGGCCUCACUCAUUGGGUUAAGAAUCUGGCAUUGCUGCAAGCUGUGUUGUAGGUUACAGAUGCAGCUUGGAUCCAGUGUUGCUGUGCUGUAGUAUAGAUCAGCAGCUGCAGGUCUUAUUCAUCCCCUGGCCCAGGAACANGUUAGAUGUUCUGGCUCUGAGAUUUUUUUUCUUAUUUCUCCAAGCCAUCUUGAGCUAU
rnacentral:lncRNA from 1 species